rnacentral:rRNA from 1 species
GGUUAAGCGACUGCUGCACACGGUGGAUGCCCCGCAGUCAGAGGCGAUGAAGGGCGCACCGCGAUAAGCGCCGGUAAGGUGAUAUGAACCGUUAUAACCGGCGAUUCGAAUGGGAAACCCAGUGCGACUCACACUAUCAUUAACUGAAUCCAUAGGUUACCGAGGCUAAACCGGGGAACUGAAACAUCUAAGUACCCCGAGGAAAAGAAAUCAACCGAGAUUCCCCCAGUAGCGGCGAGCGAACGGGGAGGAGCCCAGAGCCUGAAUCAGCAUGUGUUAGUGAAGGUACCUGAAAGCGCGCGAUACAGGUGACAGCCCUGCACACAAAAGCGCAUGUGCUGUGAGCUCGGAUGAGUAGGGCGACACGUGGUAUCCUGUCUGAAUAUGGGGUGCACCCCAUCCUCCAAGGCUAAAUACUCCUGACUGACCGAUAGUGAACCAGUACCGUGGAGGGAAAGGCGCGAAAAGAACCCCGGCGAGGGGAGUGAAAAGAACCUGAAACCGUGUACGCAAUAAGUAGUGGGAGGCCCUAAUUACCAAAGCGUUUCGCUUUGUGUGUGGUGCAAUAAAGAAGCGUAACGACAGCACUGAAUGACGGUUAACGGAGCGCAAGCGACGUUCAACAUACAAAGUCAAGCAGUGGAGCGCUUUUGGUGUAGCACGCGUACCUUUUGUAUAUAUAAUGUGGGUCAGCGACUAUAUUCUGGUGCGCAAGGUUAACCGAAUAGGGAGCCGGAGGGUCCGAGUCUUAACCGGGCGUUAAGUUGCAGGGGGUAUAGACCCGAAACCUGGUGAUCUAGCCACAUGGGCAGGUUGAAGGUUGGGCAACACUAACUGGAGGACCGGAACCGACUAAUGUUAAAAAAUUAGCGGAUGACCUGUGUUAUUAAAGCAGCAAGCGUCAAUCAAACCGGGAGAUAGCUGGUUCUCCCGAAAGCUAUUUAGGUAGCGCCUGUGAAUUCAUCUCCGGGGGUAGAAAGCAAAUCGUUUCGGCUAGCCAUCCCGGCUUACCAACCUGAUGCAACUUCGCGAAUGCCGGAGAAUGUUAUCACGGGAGACACACGGCGGGUGCUAACGUCCGUCGUGAAGAGGAAAACAACCCAGACCGCCAGCUAAGGUCCCAAAGUCAUGGUUAAGUGGGAACGAUGUGGUGCUGGCCCAGACAGCCGUGAUGUUAAUAGAAGCAGCCAUCAUUUCUAAAGAAAGCGUAAUAGCUCACUGGUCGAGUCGGCCCGGAAGAUGCAACGCCGUUCCACACCGAAGCUGGGUGGCAGCGACGCUAUGCGUUGUUGGGUAGGGGAGCGUUCAAGCCUGUGAAGGUGGCCUGUGAGGGUUGCUGGAGGUAUCAGAAGUGCGAAUGCUGACAUAAGUAACGAUAAAGCGGGUGAAAAGCCCGCUCGCCGGAAGACCGCGCGUUCCUGGUCCAACGUUAAUCGGGGCAGGGUGAGUCGACCCCUUUGCUGCGAGGCCGAAAGGCGAAGUCGAUGGAAACGGGCUAAUAUUCCCGUACUUGGUGUUACCGCGAAGGGGACGGAGAAGGCUAUGUUGGCCGGGCGACGGUUGUCCCGGUUUAAGCGUGUAGGUGCGUGCGUUCCGUGUAAAUCCGGUUCACUUUAACACGAGGCGUGACGACGAGGCACCGCUGCUGAAGGUACCAAAUGCCCUGCUUCCGUGAAAAGCCUCUAAGCAUCAGGGUAACAUCAAAUCAAAAAUUCCCCAAAACCGACACAGGUGGUCAGGUAGAGAAUACCAAGGCGCUUGAGAGAACUCGGGUGAAGAAGCAAAAUGGUGCCGUAACUUCGGGGAGAAGGCACGCUGACACGUAAAGUAAAGGAUUUACUCAUGGAGCUGAAGUCGUCGUGAAGAUACCAGCUACCGCAACUGUUUAUUAUUAAAACACAGCACUGUGCAAACACGAAAGUGACGCGCUACGGUGUGACGCCUGCCCGGUGCCGGAAGGCUGGGUUAAUUGAUGGGGUCAGCGCAAGCGAAGCUCCUGAUCGAAGCCCCGGUAAACGGCGGGCUGCAAUCUGGCAACGGUCCUGUAGCGAAAUUCCUUUAUCGGGUAAGUUCCGACCUGCACGAAUGGGCGUACGAUGGCCAGCUGUCUCCACCCGAGACUCAGUGAAAUUCGAACUCGUUGUGAAGAUGCAGUGCACGCGCACGGAAAGACCCCGUGAACCUUACUAUAGCUUCUGACACCGAACAUUGAGCCUUUGAUGUGUAGGAUAGGUGGAGGCUUUGAAGUGUGGACGCCAGUCCGCAUGGAGCCGACCUUGAAAUACCACCCUUUAAUGUUUGAUGUUCUAACGUGGACCCGUUACCCGGGUUGCGACAGUGUCUGGUAGGUUGAUUCGGGGCGGUCUCCUCCUAAAGAGUAACGGAGGAGCACGAAGGUUGGCUAACUCCGUCGACAUCAGGAGGUUAGCAAUGGCAUAAGCCAGUUUGACUGCGAGCGUGACGGCGCGAGUAGGUGCGAAAGCAGGUCAUGCGAUCCGGUGGUUCUGAAUGGAAAGGCCAUCGCUCAACGGAUAAAGGUACCCGGGGAUAACAGGCUGAUACCGCCCAAGAGUUCAUAUCGACGGCGGUGUUUGGCAACCUCGAUGUCGGCUCAUCACAUCCUGGGCUGGUAGGUCCCAUGGGUAUGGCUGUUCGCCAUUUGUAUGGUACGCGAGCUGCUUUAGAACGUCGUGAGACAGUUCGGUCCCUAUCUGCCGUGGGCGCGCUGGAGAACUGAGGGGGGGGUUCCUAGUACGAAAGAGGACCGGAGUGGACGCAUCACUGGUGUUCGGGUUGUCAUGCCAAUGGCACCGCCCGGUAGCUAAAAUGCGGAAGAGAUAAGUGCUGAAAGCAUCUAAGUACGAAACUUCGUUCCCCAGAUGAGUUCUCCUGACUUUUAGGUUCCUGAAGGAACGUUGAAGACGACGACGUUGAUAGGCCGUGGGUGUGUAAAGCGCAGCGAUGCGUUGAGCUAACCGGUACUAAUGAACCGUGAGGCUUAACCUU